GACGAACGCUGGCGGCGUGCUUAACACAUGCAAGUCGAGCGGGAAACUUCGGCUUCCAGCGGCGGACGGGUGAGUAACACGUGGGCAACCUGCCUCACAAUGAGGGAUAGCCUUCCGAAAGGAAGAUUAAUACCUCAUAACACAAGAGAAACGCAUGUUUCUUUUGCCAAAGAAUUUCGUUGUGAGAUGGGCCCGCGGCGCAUUAGCUUGUUGGUGAGGUAACGGCUCACCAAGGCUUCGAUGCGUAGCCGACCUGAGAGGGUGAUCGGCCACAUUGGAACUGAGACACGGUCCAGACUCCUACGGGAGGCAGCAGUGGGGAAUAUUGCACAAUGGAGGAAACUCUGAUGCAGCAACGCCGCGUGAGUGAUGAAGGUCUUCGGAUUGUAAAGCUCUGUCUUCUGGGACGAUAAUGACGGUACCAGAGGAGGAAGCCACGGCUAACUACGUGCCAGCCGCCGCAGUAACAC
rnacentral:rRNA from 1 species